AAACUUACCUGAUGCUGGGACCGCCGACGAUCCCGAAGGUUGGCUCCCCGGACUGAGGCCUCAUAGCACCAAAGGGGGCUGACGUCCGCCUCUUUCCCCACAGCUGGGAUUGACGGAGCGUCGAAUUUUUGGUAGUGGGGAGGCCGGGCGUGCGCGCCCCUCCCUU